rnacentral:lncRNA from 1 species
UAAGGGAUUUAGGCUUAGUUAUUUUGAUUUCCAUGGAUGGAUGAGAAUCUCAUGAAAUUCUUACGUAGGGUUUUGAUGAAAACUUUUCUAUUGAUCAAGAACAUGAAAAUUUGUUUGAUGUUUGCGUUAAUGAUGUUGUUUUUAGAAUUUUAAGUGAAAUGGAUAUAUGAGAAAUGGUUUAGUUUGGAAAAACAAGAAAUUUGUUUUUGUGUGUUCAUGAGAUAUUUUGAGGAAACUUCUAUGAAUUGUGGC